rnacentral:rRNA from 1 species
CCUACGGGCGGCUGCAGUGAGGAAUAUUGGUCAAUGGGCGGAAGCCUGAACCAGCCAAGUAGCGUGCAGGAUGACGGCCCUACGGGUUGUAAACUGCUUUUAUACGGGAAUAACGCGCCUUACGUGUAGGGCUUUGCAUGUACCGUAUGAAUAAGGACCGGCUAAUUCCGUUCCAGCAGCCGCGGUAAUACGGAAGGUCCGGGCGUUAUCCGGAUUUAUUGGGUUUAAAGGGAGCGUAGGCCGCAGUUCAAGCGUGCUGUGAAAUUUCCGGGCGAAACCCGGGCCUUGCAGCGCGAACUGGCGUGCUUGAGUCCGCGGAAAGCAGGCGGAAUUCGUGGUGUAGCGGUGAAAUGCUUAGAUAUGACGAAGAACCCCGAUUGCGAAGGCAGCUUGCUGCAGCGGAACUGACGCUGAUGCUCGAAAGCGCGGGUAUCGAACAGGAUUAGAUACCCCAGUAGUC